AAGAGAGGCUGGAUUCAGAAUGAAGAUGAAUGUGUGGCAGCUGAGAUGUUUCACAUUGUGAAUUCUCCUCUCUAGG
ensembl:miRNA